rnacentral:tRNA from 1 species
GCCUGGCUGGCUCAGUCAGUAGAGCAUGUGACUUUCCAUCUCAGGGUCAUGAGUUCAAGCCCCACACUGGGCA